rnacentral:misc_RNA from 1 species
AGAGAGAGAGAGAGAGAGAGUGUGGAGAGACUUAGUUACUUUAGUUUAGUUACUCUGUUUAGUUACUCUUUAGUUAGAAAGCUAACUUAUUUUCCAGCUGGCAUUCUCGUAUAAAUAGACUCUUCUCUCAUUAGUUUCAAAAUGAAUAAGAAUGCUUCAAUUCAUUUUACAUGUUUUUCUCUGUUUCCUCACAUGGUAUCAGUGCAGGAAAAACAGAUCUGAGAUCUGAAGCGGUUAUUUUCAAGUUUUUGGUUCUUGAUUCUUUUAGUUUUGUGGAACAUCUUCUUGAUUGUUGAUUCAGCUAUGGAAGAAAACAACCGAUCAGAUUGCAGCUAGGGUUCUUGUACGAGGAAGGAAUCCAAUUGCCGGAAGGAAUGCGAUGAUGAAUUUGAGUGUUGGUACUGAUCCAAUGAGUUUACACAGCUCAAAUAACCCAGGUAUGAUUCUGGUUUCAGCUCCUUUGAUUAGUAACAAUUACCGUUCUUGGAAUAGAGCUAUGAGGAUUGCUUUGGGUGGCAAGCAAAAAUUAGGGUUUAUAGAUGGAACUGUCAAAGUUCCCGAAGAGGAUUCUGGUGAACACGAAAUAUAGAGAAAGUGUGAUUUCAUGGUAACUUCUUGGAUUAUGAAUUCAAUAUCCAAAGAAUUAGCCGAGGCUUUCAUCUACACUACGUCUGCGAAGGAGUUAUGGGAUAAAAUUGGAGAAAGGUAUGGGCAGAGUAAUGGUCCACUUAUAUUUCAGAUUCAGGGGAAAAUUGCUUCAAUGGUUCAAGAUAACAUGUCUGUGUCUGUGUAUUUUACCAAGUUAAAGAAGUUGUGGGAUGAGCUUGCUAGUAUAGAUCCAUAGCCUGUUUGUACAUGCGGUGCUGCAAAGGAAAUCACAGAAAUUGCUAACAAAGGGAAAUUGAUGCAGUUUUUUAUGGGGUUAAAUGACAGCUAUGAACAAUCAAGAAACCAGAUUUUAUUGUCAGAUUCUUAGCCGUCUGUUGAUAAGGCGUAUUCAAUGAUUCUCAAAGUAGAGUCACACAGGCAAAUGGUUAAUUCUUACACUAAAUCAGUUGAGUCAAUAGCUUUGCAAGCACAGUCACAGGGUUAUAGGAAAGACCAGAGAAAGAAUGAUAAAAGAAAGCGUCAUUGCAACUAUUCUGAUCAGGAUGGGCAUGUGAAAGAUACUUGUUUCA